CUUGUAACCCAACUGGGGGCAUCAAUCAAGGUGGAAUUGUCAGGUUGGGUUGGUGGCUGCACCAUGCUUGCCAAUGAGACCUAGGCGAAAGCUUGAGUCUUCUGGGGUCCUAGCCUCUUCCUUGGUGCAAGUCUGUUCAACUGUCAUACAUGGUAGUUUUUGCUAACCUCCGCAGUUGAAGAAAUAUCUCUAUUUUCAUGAUCAUCAGUUAAAGAAUUAUUCAUUGGACCAUAUUUACAUAAUCACAAGAAUGAUAUCGAAUCUUUCAAGUAGAACAAUGUAAGUUGAUGGAAAAGAAAACUACUUACUGUGAGCUAGGCAAUUUUA
rnacentral:lncRNA from 1 species